rnacentral:rRNA from 1 species
UAGGGAAUCUUCGGCAAUGGACGAAAGUCUGACCGAGCAACGCCGCGUGAGUGAAGAAGGUUUUCGGAUCGUAAAACUCUGUUGUUAGAGAAGAACAAGGACGUUAGUAACUGAACGUCCCCUGACGGUAUCUAACCAGAAAGCCACGGCUAACUACGUGCCAGCAGCCGCGGUAAUACGUAGGUGGCAAGCGUUGUCCGGGUUUAUUGGGCGUAAAGCGAGCGCAGGCGGUUUCUUAAGUCUGAUGUGAAAGCCCCCGGCUCAACCGGGGAGGGUCAUUGGAAACUGGGAGACUUGAGUGCAGAAGAGGAGAGUGGAAUUCCAUGUGUAGCGGUGAAAUGCGUAGAUAUAUGGAGGAACACCAGUGGCGAAGGCGGCUCUCUGGACUGUAACUGACGCUGAGGCUCGAAAGCGUGGGGAGCAAACAGG